UAGCUUAGACAGUAAAGCAUCUGUUUGCAAUGCAGGAGACCCAGGUUCCAUCCCUGG
rnacentral:tRNA from 1 species